AGUUUUCAGUCACCCUCCGAACUACAGUUACAUCUGUGUGGUGGGAAGAAUGACUUUACUCGUACUGGUGGCUGCAAAAAGAGGGAUCUGCGCGUCUUCCAGCGAAGGUACGACCGGCUGAUACAGAUGCUGGAGAAUCAGACUAAUCGGAUGUGGGCCGAAGUGGAGCUGGCGCAGAUCGGGAUCCAGCACGUCAACUUUAUGGACAUCGUCUUUGAGCUGGUGCUGCUGGGAAUUCUGGGAAGAGCAAGGGUGCAUCAGAUCAUCUCAGUAAGAGAGUCUGUGCUCUAUAGAGUCUAGAAUUAAUCUGUGCUGCACUACAAGUGUAGUCAAACACACCUAUGUGGUUUUUCUUAC